rnacentral:lncRNA from 1 species
ACUCCGGCUUGAGUGUUAAAUGGCCAGCAGGAAUUAUCCACUAGAGAAGCGGAAGGGAGAGAAUGGAAAUGGCCGCAUGCAGCUCCUCUCCCUCAGACAGCUCGGGGCUCAGCGGAAUGAGCACAGUCUGCAGGACAAGUGCGGAGGACUUCAGUCCCCUCUACUGUAUAUUGGCUUUAGGACUCAAGUUGUCCCUGAAAUAGAGGAAGGUGUUUUCUAGGGUAGUGGUAAUUAUCACAGUCAAAAAAGUAGGCGAGAGCACUUAGGAAAACUGUGCGGAGAUCGGCUGCUGAUGUGUAAAUACUGCUGAAGCUGCUUAUUCAAGAUUAGAAAACCUGAGACCCAGACGGGGGAAACUGCUUUCCAUGGUUAAUCGUCAACAACUGGCCAGGAUGGGACAGAAGCCCAUACAUAGCCUUCAUUCCAGGGCUCAGAACAAAAAGAAGGCAGUGGCCUGGGCUGCACCUGAGCUUGGCUUCACAUAGGAGGGAUUCUGGAACGCAGGAUCCUGACAACGACCUCAAGCCCCUGUAAAGCAACACAUUUUUUGGCAAGAAUCCCUGGGACAGAGAAAGAAUUUCUUCUCACUUAUUAUUGAGAAUGUUCUCAUGUCUUGCAAGGCUCACUGCCCAGUAGAAGCUGAAAAGAUUCAGUAUGAGUAAAAGAAGAGAUCUGAAAUUUGCAGCUUGUCAUAGAAAGGGCCCCACUGUGCAACUCCUCUCCCUGGAGUAUUGGUCCAUGCUCUUUCUCAAGCC